ACACAUACAGAAUCUACUGUAAUUUCUAUGGUGACGUGUAUGGCGUCGUACCUUGGUAUCAGGUUUGUGAUGGAAUUGAACAAUGUCGCACACACGGGGAGGAUGAGAGGGACUGUGAUGUUAAGAGCACCACACUACACAGUACAUGUCUUCAUUACGGCAAGAAAUACUGGGAUAAAAUUAACAAGAAAGUCCCCAUACUUAGAAACACUAGGUGUAGUGUGUUUGAUCUUGAUUGGCCUGGCAAAUUUCCGUACUGUUACGAUUAUCUAGACCAGACAAACUGCAGUGAUGUGAACAAAGUGGGAGGUAACUGUUUGGUCAAUGAUUAUAUGUCAGUCGUGUCAAAGUACGUGGUAUGUGGUAGCGAAUUUAAGCGUACCAAUAAACCGGUUAAUCUAUGUGACGAUAACCUAGAAGACAAAUGUACUUCACUACCUCAACCUGGGUUAGCUAAUGACUGUGUCGUCCACAAACACAGACUUUGCGAUGGAGUUAGUGACUGUGUUGAUGGUAGUGAUGAGACCCUUGAUAUAUGUCAGUACACAACGUUGGGUUAUUUAAAAUGCAGAAGAGGCUUCAAUACUGAUAAAAACAUGCCAAUACCUGUCAAAUGGUUACUGGAUGAUCAAACAGAUUGUCUGGAUGGAGAAGAUGAAAAAAGAAACCUUAAGGUGACAUACUGUGAAGAAAUAAAUGAAGGUACUGAAAGAAUAAAUUUAGGAAACAAAACAUGUCAGGACGUUUUUCUGUGUCCAGGAGAUUCCAAGAUUAGUUAUGUUGAGUUUGACGCUCUUUGUGAUGGUAUAAACUCUUGUGAAGUUGAAAAUGAUAUCUGUACGAUUUCAAGAGAUUUCCCGAGCAUCAAUGCAUCUGCUGUUAUCAACAGUUGUAAUGUGCGAGAUUUGUGCGAAUCAAUGGAACAAUCCGAAAAUGUAACUUGUCAUGUUCAAGAAUUUCAGAGUCCAGCAGGAAAUACAUUUGGUGUCAAAAUGAUGAUAAAUGUCCCAACUUCAAAGACAAAAGUUGACUGCAGUAUUCAAUAUGGUGAAUAUUAUGUCUUCUUGAGUUGCAUGGGUUUAUGUCUAAACUCCACGUGUCCUCUUCAGAACACUUCCUUAGACUAUGAUUCAUGCCCCGGUCAGUAUCCUGACCGGAUCCACACUCUCGCUAACAAUUCUGCUCUAACAUUUGUGACUAUGUCUGAUGAAGGUGAAUAUGAAAAUGCACAUUUCCAGUGUGAUAACAAAAAGUGUGUUCAUUAUAGCCAAGUUUGUAACCUGGUUGAUGACUGUGGUGACUUGUCAGAUGAACGACUUUGUAAAAACCAUUUAGUUUGUGAGGAUACUAAAAACCGGACAAAACAGGACCUAAUAUCUUAUUCCCAAAGGUGUGAUGGUAAAUUUGACUGCUUCGAUUUAUCUGAUGAAUGCAAUCAGUCAUGUGGCAAGGAAAUCUUAGCCAAUUGGGUAUUGAAACUUAGUUGCUGGCUGCUGGGCCUUUUGGCAUCCAUUUUUAAUGUCGUCAUGGUGGCCAAAGUUGGAAGUUCCAUAAGAGAAUCUGAAUCAGGUAGUAUGCUGUGCACUAGAGUGCUGAUCUGUUUAAUCGGAUUAGGCGAUCUACUUAUAGGAGUCUACUUGAUCGUAUUGUCUGUAUUCGACAGUAUCAUUUUAGGAGAGGAUUACUGUGCAAAGCAAGCAGAAUGGUUAUCAGGCACUGCUUGUUCUGUUUUGGGAGUGAUUAGCACUACGGGAUCGCAACUUUCUCUAUUUUCGAUGACUGCUUUGAGUUUGAUUAGGAUGAGGGGAAUUGUGAAUAAUUCUAUGAUUGCUCCUACCCGCGUCAAUAAAAAAGCAGUAAUAAAAGCUGCCAUGAUUGUGAUCGGAAUCAUUACUGCUUCGCUAUCAGUGGCACUCAUACCAUUGGUCCCCGCCUUAGAGGACUACUUUGUGAAAGGUUUCUUCUAUGACCGAGACUACAAGCUAUUUAUUGGUUUUCCGAACAAAAUAAAGCACGUCAAGAUUCUUCAAGCAUAUUACAAAAAUGAGAGCUUCUCUAGAGAUACAUCCUGGACUGAUAUUGGCGAAAAAGUAGAUGCAAUGUUCAGUCAUAUUAAGAGUUAUGGAAGUGGAAGCUUGAAUAAAAGUGCUGUUCACUUUUACGGUAACGAUGGUGUGUGUCUUUUUAAAUACUCCGUUCGAAGUGAUGACCCAAGGAGAAGCCGAACGAUAUCAGAUGUGGAAGAGGACUUGAUCGACGUGAAAGGAAAUAUGAUAGUUUGGCUCAUGCUAGGUGUAAACCUAUGUUGUUUUUUGUUCAUUACCGUGUCCUACUUGUUGAUCUACAUUAAAUCCCGGCAAUCAUCCAGGAAUUCUGGGCAAAACAGCAAUCCAGAAACUGUCCGCAGAAACCGAGCAAUGGAAAACAGGAUUGCGCUGGUCAUAGCCUCGGAUUUCGCUUGUUGGGUUCCAUUCAUAAUCAUCAGCGGGCUCCACAAUCUCGAGUCAAUCGAUGCUACAGAUUGGUACCUCACUUUUGCAAUGAUAGUUUUACCCCUCAAUUCUGUCAUAAACCCGAUGCUGUAUGACAAUACUUUGAGAGAAUUUUUUAGUAAGAUUUUUACUUUACUUAACUUUAUUGUCCAAAGUGUUGCUGUUAGAUUUCCAAAUCGUGGCAGAUAUUUGAGAGCAACUAAAGAGGCUCCAGAAGAAAGGCAAAUUGUAGAAAUGGGAGGUGAUAUUGACAAGGGGGCACCUGCCGACGAGGGUAUCAUGGAAAUUUAGAUAGAAAUAUGGAAAUAGUGAUAACAAGGAAAUCAUUACGUUAUGGAUUCUUUCAACUAGUAAGCUAGUAUUACCAAAUGUAUAGACAGUACAAUCCCUGGUCGGAAACCGAAUGGAACUUUCAUCUUUAAAGACACCACGUGAUCAAAACGAUUAUUAUAUUUGUACCCAGGUCUGGUUAACUUUAAGUUAUAAAUUAUGUGUUGCAGUGUUUCUAUUUUAAAAUGUCACCCGACCUUGUAGUAUAUUUUAUUUAAUUCUAUCUUUUCUUUUGAGAAGAAAUUUAUUUAAAAUCCAAUAUGCUGGAACCCAUUAACCAUGACUGGAUGUGAUGAGUAUUAUACGAAUAUGUUCACACACGAGGGACUACUUGUUGUUGUAUUUGCAAAUAUCUGACUAGUGACAUUUAACUUUAAUGAUUUUCGUUGCUUUUUGUUAUAAUUGGACUGUUGAAUAUAUCAAAAGUAACAUAUAAACUUAUAAAAAAGUGUGAAGAGGUACAUCUAACAUCCGUUUCCGUACCUGGAAAGUGGAAACAGUAUUUUACUUUUACGACACUUUAAAACUUUCAAAUCUAAUUGUAUUCUUUCGACAUCGGACGUUUUUUAUUUGAGCAUCAUUAGUAUUUACUUAUUAAUAACUAAUUAGUCAUUUAAAUAUCUUUCCUUGACAAAUCUAUUGUGUAAUUGUAGUUUUAAGUUAUCAUCUUAGUUGUA